UCAUGUAUGGAUUUCUAUAUCAUCUUGAUAGCUUUUAUUUUCAGGAUUGCUUUUAAUCUCUAACUCCUCUGUACAACAUGGAUUGUAUUUGGUGGGGAAAAAACAAUAUAGUUUUAAUUUUAAUUCUCAUAAAGAAAUAAGUUGUAUAUACCAGAUGACAUUCUAAGUGCUUCACAUAUACUCAUUUAAUUUCACAGUGGUUCAAAAGCUAUUAGAGACAAAAUUGGAGCAAGUAUAAACUUUGACUAAGAGUGAUGCUUCAAAUAAAUGUUCAGACUUACCACCUUCACUGAGUGUGAAAAUCUACUCAGUGUCUAAUUUUUCUUAAAAUGUUCUCAUUCAAAUUUGAUUAUGCUUAUUCUUCAAAAAGAGCAGUAUCUAUAACCUCUAGUUUUAAAACCUGGUAUCUAUUUUAUUGAAACCUAGUAGGUAAAUAACAUUUGAAGACUCCUAAUUGUUAUUAGAAUAUAAGCUAUUGCCUUUAAUUACUAAAGAAAAUUAAAAUAUAGCAGCUUCUUUUGGAAAUGUGCCAACCCUCUGCAGAGUACAAGAGUAUGCAACAAUUUAUUGGUUAAAUGAUAGAUUGAAAGAUUUAUUUAUUUAAGAGAGAGUGAGAAUGCGUGUAGAGGUGGGGCAGGGGGGGGGGGAAGAGCAGAGGGAGAGGAACAAGCUGACUCCACUGAGUGUGGGACCUGACUCAGGGCUUCAUCCCAAGACCCUGAGACCAUGACUUGAGCCAAAAUCAAGAGCCAGUCGCUCAAAUGAUGAAGCAACCCAGGAGCUCCAAGAGAUUACAUCUUUAUUUAGUUUAGCUUUUAUUGCCUUCCUUCCUGACUAAAAGUAGGACCAGAUUUGCCCACAUUUUUUGCGAUCUUGACAAAUGCCUAAGAUGAUGAAUUAGAGAUGUGUAUAUCAUCAUAAUAACUGCUUGUACCUUUGCCCUCUUUAGUCAUAAUAGGUGUUUUGAAUGUUUGCAUGGAGAGUUGCCACAGGGCAAGCUACUGGCUUUUUGUACUUAUUGAGUGUUUUUGCACACAGUGGAUUGAAAAUAUACCCUGAGGUGAUUCUUGGGUGUCCUCAUUCAUUUAAAGGUGACGGAAAAACACCCUUAAAUGGAUGCUGUCCAGUGCAGGUGCUUAUCAGUCAUAGCCGUCUAGCUUGUCCACUUUUAUUUGCACCGCCUUGCUUGUCUCAGGAUGUGCAUUUUCAGCUAUUUAUGUGUUUUACAUGUACCACUAAAGAACUGAAAACAUACCACCAAAAAGAGAAAGCAGGAUUCCUUCAGUUUGAAAAAGAUUAUAACCUAAGUCUUUACAGGGAUCAGAAAUGGCAGUCAUUCAAAGUUCUUUAGACAUAUUUAGAAAUGGUGUUUAAUAAUAGUCUUAUGUGUAUUCUUAGUGGGAUAUACUCUGAGGGCAAAAAGCACAACAACAACAAAAAAAUCUCAGAUGUCACAGAUUUAUUCUAAUAGUACUAUUGGCAAUGCAACUUUGAAACUUUUUAGGUCUACUAUAAAGUGAAUAAUACAUGUUAGAAAUCUAGGAGAAAAGAAAUGAAAAAUAUAAAAUAAAAGAAGGUUUAGGGGGAAGGUCUCUGAUGUUAAAUUUGAAUUAGGGUUUAUUUGUGUAUAUUUCUUAGAAGAAUAUAUAUAAUUUCUCCCAAUGGAGGGUCCCCAUAUCUUGAUAUCUAGAUCCCUUUCUCCACAAAAGAAACCGUAUUUCUUGGAGAAAUGGUUGUUUUCAGGUCUGAGGCCCAGAAAAUACAAAAGUACAAAGGUGAGCCUCGAUUACCUUGCCAGAAAGCAAGGAAGUACCCCCAAAACUAUAGGAUUAAGUGAAGGGUCACAGAAUCAAGUUUGACUCCUUUGGCCAAAUGUGAGUCAAGCUGGGCUAAACAGAAUAAUGACUAUGAUAGAUGAGCAAAGCAUUGAAUACAUUUUUAAAGUUCCUAAGUCUAGGGGCGCCUGGGUGGCUCAGUGGGUUAAGUUGCUGCCUUUGGCUCAGGCCAUGAUCUCAGGGUCCUGGGAUCGAGUCCCGCGUCGGGCUCUCUGCUCAGCAGGGAGCCUGCUUCCCUGUCACUCUCUUUGCCUGCCUCUCUGCCUACUUGUGAUCUCUCUCUGUCAAAUAAAUAAAUAAAAUCUUAAAAAAAAAAAUAAAGUUCCUAAGUCUAGAGUGAUACUCAGAAUCAAGGGUGAGAGAAGGGUUUUUUUUUCUUUGUAGGAGAAUGCCAGCCAGUACCUACUGAAUAAUACAAGUGGGAUAAUACAAGUGGAAAAAUCUGUGCAGUCCCUAAUAAUUGAGGAACUAGAGAUAGAGGAACAGAGAAAAUGACCCCGAGAGAAGAUUCUGAUCCAGAAUAUGAAACAUUCUAUAAGAAAAUGCCUAAAUUCUUCAAAAAGAACCUAUCAAUCACCCUCUGAUGGAAAUGGGAAAGAAAAUUAUCUGUCACCCACAGAUCAUUUGAGAAACAAUGAAAUAUAUAUUAGAACCAAGAAAUUUUUUAAAAA